UACGUAGGGGGCAAGCGUUGUCCGGAAUCAUUGGGCGUAAAGCGCGUGUAGGCGGCUCGGUAAGUCUGCUCUGAAAGUCCGGGGCUCAACUCCGGAUCUGCGGUGGGUACGGGCAGACUAGAGUGAUGUAGGGGAGACUGGAAUUCCUGGUGUAGCGGUGAAAUGCGCAGAUAUCAGGAGGAACACCGAUGGCGAAGGCAGGUCUCUGGGCAUUAACUGACGCUGAGGAGCGAAAGCAUGGGGAGCGAACAGG
rnacentral:rRNA from 1 species